rnacentral:lncRNA from 1 species
UCGAGAAUUUAACCGGCGCUAUUCUUUCAGUGGUAGGCGAUAUGCUCGUCGACAGCGAGGCGCCAGUGGGAUUUCAUCAAUCUCGAGGAUUUGCCGGCUCAGUCUUUUGGAGGUGCUCAUAAGAGUAGAGUUGCAUGCGUGUGUUCGUAGGGGCAAGUGUGCGUACGUGCAUGCGAGCGUCUGGUGUACUGUGUGGUUCGAAAAAAAAAACGAGUACUUGGGUUGAGAUCACCUGGAGUACGUAGUCCAUGUCCAUGGUAUAUAUGAUUUUAUUGUGCACACGAUCGACUAGCUACGAAUUAUAUACUAUUUUCAAAUAUGUAUAGCGUUUAGAACAAACAAAUUUAUUUAAAAUAAAAUAAUUAAUUAACUUAUUAUAAACACCAACUUUUUAAAAACGGAGGAAUUGCAUGUGGACAUGCUUACAACUCACUCUCCGUUUGUCCCUCUUUGGUCGGCAUGCGGCUAUGGUUUCUUGUGAAUUUGCAUGACUCACGACGUCACAACUCUGGAUUUACAAAAGGAGGCACCACACCUCAAGGGAGGGAUCCUAUGUUCUAAAAUGAUCUACUUGUUUUUUAGAGGAUGAAAAUUGUACUGCUGCUCUUUUGGGCUAAAAGAGAAUUACCAUAUAGCAAUUUCGGUGGACAGAUGGGGAAAAAAGGGGGAAAUCAAACAAGUGAUGGCGCGAAUUGAAGGAACCGCCCACCCACCCUAACAAAGACGCGGCAACGUGGUAAUGGCGCCACCCGGAUAUUACAAC